rfam:Camelus ferus unplaced genomic scaffold scaffold859, whole genome shotgun sequence.
CAGGGUGUAGCUCAGUGGUAGAGUGCGUGCCUCGUAUGCACGAGGUCCUGGGUUCAAUUCCCAGCACUGA